rnacentral:rRNA from 1 species
UACGUAGGGUGCGAGCGUUAAUCGGAAUUACUGGGCGUAAAGCGUGCGCAGGCGGCGCGUUAAGACAGGUGUGAAAGCCCCGAGCUUAACUUGGGAAUUGCGCUUGUGACUGGCGGGCUGGAGUGUGGCAGAGGGAGGUGGAAUUCCACGUGCAGCAGUGAAAUGCGUAGAGAUGUGGAGGAACACCGAUGGCGAAGGCAGCCUCCUGGGCCAGCACUGACGCUCAUGCACGAAAGCGUGGGGAGCAAACAGG